rnacentral:rRNA from 1 species
GUUCUAUUUUGUGGUUUCUAGGAUCACGUAAUGAGUUAAUAGGGAGUAGUUGGGGGCAUUAGUAUUUCAAUUGUCAGAGGUUGAAAUUCUUGGAUUUAUUGAAGACUAACUUCUGCGAAAGCAUUUGCCAAGGAUGUUUUCAUUUAAUCAAGAACGAAAGUUAGGGGAUCGAAGACGAUCAGAUACCGUCGUAGUCUUAACCAUAAACUAUGCCGACUAGGGAUCGGACGAUGUUAAUUUUAAUGACUCG